rnacentral:misc_RNA from 1 species
AAAGGCAACAGCCGGGCCGGUUGUCGCAAUUGAGCGGGCCUAGCUCGUCCUACUAGUAUGAGGAUCGGCHCAGUAUGUUGCGUAAUCCUACCACUAACUGUGGAGAGGUAGAGGCAACACAUGUUCCGGUUGUUCUCAAAUUCGGAGAGCAUUAUUAGGGUCAGGUCGAGGCAACCAAAAGGGCCACGAGCCUUUAUCAUGAGCAACAUCCGAAACCAAAAGCGGGAGCGAGGAUGCCUUGAUAGCACCAGGCACGAAACAUGCCAGCACCAAGAGGCAACGCCGCAAGCGCCAUAUGGCCGCAGCAGCACACCCAAAGGCGUCCACCGCGAGGCASCUGUGUAUGAAGCACCAAUACCCGUAGGUCGGGUAACAUCACGCAAGCACUUGAAAGGCAACAGUAAGAUAGCUCA